GCUGUAUCUUUAUGCAUGUGUAUACAUUUUUUUAAUGCUUCCUAUUUAAUCAAAUAACAUUUACAGAUGUCAUUUUUCAGGAAUCCAGCCUCAGAGAUUUGAACAUUGUUAUUAGUGAUAUUUCAACAUUAAAAUCCAUAAUCAAUCAGAUGGAUGUACAUACAAAUAGAGCUUUGCUAGAGAAGCAUUGAAUAGAAGUGAUUUGGCAUGUUCCACAAGGUGACUGUUGCUAGUAAUCUCCAUUCAAAAACCUUAGGAUUGUCCCUGAUUUUAAAGUAGCAGCAAAGUGUACAGUAGCAGGAGAAAGCUGCUUUACAGUGCAGGUCAUGACAUCAAAAUCAAAUCAAAUCAAAUUUAUUUUUAUAUAGCCCUUCGUACAUCAGCUGAUAUUCUCAAAGUGCUGUACAGAAACCCUGCCUAAAACCCCAAACAGCAAGCAAAGCAUGUGAAAGAAGCACGGUGGCUAGGAAAAACUCCCUAGGAAAAACUCCCUAGAAAGGCCAAAAACCUAGGAAGAAACCUAGAGAGGAACCAGGCUAUGAGGGGUGGCCAGUCCUCUUCUGGCUGUGCAGGGUGGAUAUUAUAACAGAACAUGGUCAAUAUGUUAAAAUGUUCAUAAAUGACCAGCAUGGUCAAAUAAUAAUAAUCAUAGUAGUUGUCGAGGGUGCAACAAGCACGUCCGGUGAACAGGUCAGGGUUCCAUAGCCGCAGGCAGAACAGUUGAAACUGGAGCAGCAGCACGGCCAGGUGGACUGGGGACAGCAAGGAGUCAUCAUACCAGGUAGUCCUGAGGCAUGGUCCUAGGGCUCAGGUCCUCCGAGAGAAAGACAGAUAGAGAGAAAGAGAGAAUUAGAGAGAGCAUAUUUAAAUACACACAGGACACCGGAUAAGACAAGAGAAAUACUCCAGAUGUAACAGACUGACCCUAGCCCCCCGACACAUAAACUACUGCAGCAUAAAUACUGGAGGCUGAGACAGGAGGGAUCAGAAGACACUGUGGCCCCAUCCGAUGAUACCACCGGACAGGGCCAAACAGGCAGGAUAUAACCCCACCCACUUUGCCAAAGCACAGCCCCCACACCACUAGAGGGAUGUCUCCAACCACCAACUUACCGUCCUAAGACAAGGCCGAGUAUAGCCCACAACGAUCUCCGCCAUGGCACAACCCAAGGGGGGGGCGCCAACCCAGACAGGAAGACCACGUCAGUGACUCAACCCACUCAAGUGACACACCCCUCCCAUGGACGGCAUGGAAGAACACCAGUAGGCCAGUGACUCAGCCCCUGUAAAAGGGUUAGAGGCAGAGAAUCCCAGUGGAAAGAGGGGAACCGGCAAGGCAGAGACAGCAAGGGCGGUUCGUUGCUCCAGCCUUUCCGUUCACCUUCACACUCCUGGGCCAGACUAUACUUAAUCAUAGGACCUACUGAAGAGAUAAGUCUUCAGUAAAGACUUAAAGGUUGAGACUGAGUCUGCGUCUCUCACAUUGGUAGGCAGACCAUUCCAUAAAAAUGGAGCAGGACAGUCUGUAUUGGAGCACUGUCAUAGUGUUUUUAUGUGCAGUUGACGCUUAAAGAGAUCAUUAUCUAUUUAGUGAUGCUGUGGGAAGGGACUUUUCAUCUUCUUCCACCUGUCUUCACUAGAACAUAAGAGGUUGAGAAUCAGAGAUGUAACAGAGAGGAGAUGUUGGAGAUGUCAUAGAUUACCAAACAAACAGGGAUUUCACAGAGAGGAUUGGUAAUAGAGAAGAACAAAAAAAAAACGAUGCUGAUGAUGUCAGAGACAGACAUAUACGGGAAAUGUCUAAAUACAUCUUAGUGAUGUCAUACAUAGGAGCUAAGUUAGCGAUGAUGUCACAGAGCGACACAAUCAGUGACCUUACAAAAGGCAUGGAAUAUUUAUGAUAUCAUAGAGACAAGCAGAAGUGAUGAUGUCAUAGACACUAUUAAACAGAUAAUGACUCCUAACUAAAUGUAUAGUGUAUCUUGUACACCCACCAUUAGACAUUGCGUAGAGUCUGGGCUGCCCUGGGUAUGGGGAGAGGGGACAGUGUCAUCCAGGGCCACAUUUGCAUUGGAGUCACAAUGGUUAUCACUGAGGAGACAGUGGGAAGAGUUACAAUGGACAACAGAGAUAAAUAACUCCAUCACUGUCUAACAGAACAAACUGUUGGUUCCAUCAAGGGGUGAGCCUUGAAAGGUAUAAGGGUGCUAAGGUGGAUAAGAAGUGGGUGAGGUCUGGUGUAUAUGAAGUGGUGCGAUGUACAAUCAGGGUGAGGACCCACUGGGCACACCACAUCAUUUCAACAUGGACAUUUGGGUAUUAUUUGGUUGAGACGUUGACCAUUGAGAUUUCAACCUUUAUUCAGCCACUCAAAAAGACAGCCAGAUGUUUGUUGAAUUCCCAAUGUGUUAUCACUAUGCUUUCAACCAUUUAAAAGUACAAAGUUGAAAUGGGAAUACAAUGUCAGAUCUUUUUUAUUUAUACAACAACUUCAUGUGUUAUCACUGUGCUUAAUCUAAUUGCACAACCAAAUGACCUGGAUUGCAGUUGAGAUUACAUUAAAAGUACAUAGUGCAAGUGAUCAAUGCUGUUUGAGAUUCUGCACAGAUUAUUAUAGCAAUUGUGAAGAUCUCCACAGACCUGCGACCUUUGCAUGCCGUCUUGAACAUGCAUGCUUUCUAUGAUUACAUAAGACAUUUAUAGUUACAGUAGGCUAACCUCAAAAUGUGGCAAUGCAUGUGUUACUCAUUUUAAAGUUGAAUAAAUACUGGUACAUCAGUUUGUAAGAGCCUUAACUUUAGGCUAUUGACUGUAUUAAAAAAGUAUUAUUGAAUUGUGUUUGGUUGACAACGCAGCCAAAUAUCAACAUUUAAAAGGAUAUCUAAUUCUUGUAUACAUUCAUCUGAGCAACUGGCAUAAUCCUAUUCUUAAACGUUUAGUUUUGGUUGAGUUGGAGACGUGAACCCAACUUAUUUGUUAACUUGUCGACAAGUUAAUAGGCUAUUUGUGUUUGGUUGUCAACGCAACCGAAUAUCAACAUUUGAAGGAGAUGUAUCUUUGUGCCAAUGACCCAGUCUGGCUUUAUUCCCAGUUUGUCUACAAAUGAAUGAUAAGUUGGAUUCACGUCUCCAUAUCAACCAAGAAUCAAAGUU
rnacentral:lncRNA from 1 species